CAAAACACCAAACCGUAAAGAUGGUUUUCGGUGCUGGUUAUCCAGUUACAGAAGCGACACCAAAAUAGAAAAUGGAAGGCUUGUUAUUUAACAGUAUAACAUGACUUAUAUGGUCGUGUCAACCAAUCCAAUCCAAUAACUAUCUAGAUGUAUUCAAAUUUUAUGUAAAUGAAUGAAGUGGAUUGCAAAAAGUUCUAUACAUAAAAUUUCGAUAUGACAGUGGGUUGCCUGGGAUUUUAACUCGAAACUAGUCGAAUGGAGUAGAUAAUUUCCUUGUUAUGUUAAUUAAAUAAGGAAAAACCCUCCCCAAGCCGUGCUUGCAUUUUUCAUUGCACACGGCUUUCCCUAUAUAUACAUCACUUCCUUUCUUAUAAAGACUUUAAAAAGUUGAAUACUCAGUUGACUUUAAAAAGUUGAAUACUCAGUUGAUUUAACCCUUA
rnacentral:lncRNA from 1 species